CACAUGAAGUAGCAAUACGGAUGGUGGCGACCGGCGCACGGGUGAGUAACGCGUAUGCAACCUGCCUACAACAGGGGAAUAACCCGUUGAAAGACGGACUAAUACCCCAUAACACAGGGAUCCCGCAUGGGAAUAUUUGUUAAAGAUUUAUCGGUUGUAGAUGGGCAUGCGUUCCAUUAGCUUGUUGGUGAGGUAACGGCCCACCAAGGCGACGAUCAGUAGCCGGACUGAGAGGUUGACCGGCCACAUUGGGACUGAGACACGGCCCAGACUCC
rnacentral:rRNA from 1 species